AUGCCCCGGGCCCCGGCACGCAGCGGCGGGGGCUCCUCCCCGCGGGGAAGAUGCCCCGGGCCCGGGUCGCGGAAGGGCGGGCGUGGCCCAGGGAAUCCCGCGAAGCCGCCCCAGCGCCUGCCGGCGGGGCGCCCCGGGCUUUCCCCGCCGCCGGGUGCGCGGCGCCCGCCCGGCGCGGACCCUCCUGCCCCGCGGAGCGCGAGCCCCGGAGCCAAGCAGGUGGGUGUGGAGCUGGGCCGGGCCCCGGGGGAGCGGCGGGCGCGCCCCGGGAGAGGGAGGCGCCGGCGAGGUGUGGGCGGCGCCCGGCCGCGCCCUGGGCUCGGGGGCGCUGUCCCAGGCCGAGCGCACGGCUCCGGGCCCGCCGCCCACCUCGGGAGCCGCGAGCGCCCGGGAGGAGGAGGAGGAGGAGGGGGAGGAGGAGGAGGAGGAGGUGGAGGCGGUGGAGGAGGUGGAGGAGCAGAGGCGGCGGCGGCGGCGGCGGCCCCUCCAGCCCGCGGGUGCGCGGAGCGCGGGAGGAGGCGGAGCGCGAGGCGGGGUGGCCGCGGGCGGGUGUGCGCGCCGGCCCGGCGCCCCCGAGCGCCCUGCCUCGCCUCCCGCGCGCAGCCUGUCCCCGGCUCCGCCACAGACCCACGCCCCCCCGGCACCCCACGCCCACCGCGCACCCCGCCCCCGCCCCCGCGGGCGCCGCCACCUCUCCGCCCGCGGCCCGAGCGAGCGGCAACUCUCCGGCCCGCGCCGCUCGCCUUCCCGGCUCCUUCCGCGCGCGGCGAGCUCAGCCCCGCUCGAUUUUUUUUUUUUUCUUUUUUUUUUCUCCCUUUUCUAUGCCAGCCCUCUCCGGUCUGGGCGGCGGCGGCGGCGGCGGCGGGGGGAUGGGGCCCCGCGUGGGGAAGGGGGCGAAGAUCGAUGAAGAUUAUUGUUCUUUUUAAGGAUCCCCUCGCGUCCUCCCGCCGCCUCCCCCGGGGCUUUCGCGCUGGAGACGGUGAAGGGAGUCAGGGAUGUGAGGACGGGGGGAGACGCCGGGAGCUGCCGCCCGCCGGGGAGACCCUCCUCUCCGCCGAGGGGAGGGGGACCGCCAGCCACAGAUCAUUGGCGAAGGGGACCGUCGCGGGGAGAGGAGCCCCGGAGGGAGCGGGGGAUCCCACGACCCUGCGUGGCGCCCGAGCCGUGCCGCCGGCCAGCGGGGUCGGUGGGAGCCAGAGACUAAAUUCCUUAAAGUUGAUAGGACAUCUUCUCCUGUACAUUUUAAGGUAA
rnacentral:lncRNA from 1 species